ensembl:lncRNA
GCCCCGCCUGACCAAGCAUGAGGCACCUCAUCAUUGGAUGAUCAUCAUCGAAUGGGCGGGACUAAGGUACAGUGCACCUGUUUCCUAGUUGUCGUGUGCGUCUGGGUUCAUCAUCAGAGGUCUCAACUCGGGAGGAAAAUUUGCUUCAGAAACGCCUGGUGUCGCUUCAACAUUAAUGAUGGCGGAAGGUCAGGAUCGAGGAAAACAUUACUAUUUUGUCAAGAGUCAUCUGACGACAUUGGCUUCCAUUUUCAAUAAUGAGGAAUUAAUAAGGAGCCUCUGUUUGGAGAAAGACAUAAUAACUUUGGACGAAUACAAUGCCCUGCCUUCUGAUUGGACCACGCCCCUAUUGGCGAGGCUGCUUACCAAAGGAGAGAAAACAUGUCAGAAGUUGGUCUCUGAGGUGCUGAAAACCCCAAAGGUGGAGGAGACCUUCCCAAGGCUUGAAGGGCUGAACUGGACCUUGUUGGACUCCAAGCCAGAGCCAGAAAGAACCUCCAUGCCAGGCCAGGGCCCAAGACCGGAGAGGAGAGACAGACUGGAGGACAGAUUUGGAGGCCAUUGGGUUCCUGGAUCUCCGACCACAGUGAAUUAUUACAACAUCGUACUGUGUGACUGUGCAGCAGCACAGUGUGUGACUGAGCAGCAGCAGAACCGUACCGUAUCUAAGAACCUUGCAACGGAUGUCUUCAACAGAAUUGGCAAAGAGAUUAAUAUGAUUUACAAUUUUGUAAAUAAGGAAUGGGGCAUAAUUGUAAAACGUAUUUGUAGAUAUAAACGUGAAGAUACGAGUAUUAGUAUAUUAGUAAAAUACACUUUUUCUGGAAAAUGUACAUUCGACAAACAAAUCCAAAAGUUCAAUAAAAUAAAUGAGGCCAAAACUAAGUUUCGCUUGGAAGACUUAGUUUAUAAUUAUUUUGGAAUCAAAAUAAUGUUCCAGCCAAUUGAAUUCCCUACUUUUGAUUUUGAACGGUCAACACAGGAUAUCUUUUUGGAGGUCAUUGCCCCGUUAGAAAUGAAGUGUAGGCUAGAACGGCAUGUUCUGCCAGCACAAAUUGACGUUGUCAAAUUCAAAGCUACUAUUCAUGAUUUCCUCGACUACCUGUAUCCUGGGCAAAAAUGUAUUCUGCUUACAGUUUUACCACAUGUAUUGGACACUAUGAACUAUCCAUUUGUUCAAAUUUUUCUUGACCUGGUAGACAUUAGUCUGAUUAUAAUCAUACCAGUUAUUAUGCUUCGUGUGAUAUUGCAAAUCAAGCAGUUUUUGGAACACCUCAACCUUUUUCCAGAAGAAAUCACAAAACUAGAUGGUUGUUUCCAAGUUCUAUCCAUAAUCAUUGAAUUAUUGAAUCCAGAUAUUGGAUAUAUGUGCAAGAGUUUGGAAUCAAAUCAAGGCGAGUGUUUAAAUGAACGUUGUAUUUCCUCAAGCCAGGGGAAGAACAGAGGGCUAAAACGUAGAAAGAGUCAAGAAAUUAGGCAAGAGACGGAGGCUGGGAGAAAGAAAAAAUGCAUAUAAGGAUGUAAUGAUCUAUGAUAGUUUCGGUACGGUCCUUAACGGUUCGAUACAGGUUUCAUUUUGGUGCGUACCGAAUUAAUUUUUUCUUUUAUUUGAUUUAAGAUUUUUUUUUUUAUUGAUUAUCACACUCUGUCUUUGUCUUGUCAUGCUUUGUGUUAUAGACCUAAAAGGAAAUAAGUCCUGGACUUCGUGUGUAUUUAUUCUCAAUUGUAUUUGAUGUCUUUUCAUAUGUGUAAGGCAUUUGUUUGAUACAAUUUAAUAAAUAAUUUGUGCCAAUAAGAAAAGCAUAGUGGCCAUUGUUCCC